CUUUUUAAUUAAUUAACUCACCAUUUAUGUGUAUUAGGGACUCCUUUGCAUGAGUACAAGGUCCCUUUUAGCUUGAUCUAGGCUUAAUACUCUAUUAUAGCAUGAAAUCCCCUAUUUUCCACCCGGAUGAACAGUAACCCGAACUGACAGUGGGUUACUUCAUCCCAGUUUUGAUCCACUUUCAGGACUCCAAAUUUGAUAAAAUUUUUAUCUAACAUUCUACACUCACAAAGGAUUCCAAAGAGAUAACAUGCAUCAUCAUCGGAGGCCAUUUGACCCCCUAAAUAAUUCGCCGAAGUUGGGACUUCGACACAGUUUUUCCGUAGUGCCGGAAAAAUUUGUUAAAAUCCGAUUCUUCCUCUUUUAACCACCUCUACAAUCCUUAUCCGACCCCUCUAGACUAUAUCCACCCUUUGUAUAGCCUAAUAUCAUCAAAAGACUAGAUAGGGACGGAUAUUUACCUUUUUCUUCUUGUGAAACUUGAGUCCUUGCGUAGAAGGGAAGGAGAUCUACACUUUUCCCUUCAGCUGGCAGCGAACCGGAGCUUCCUUGCACCUCGAAUCCCCUCCCUCUUUCUUCUUCUUCUUCUUCUUCUUCUUCUUCUUCUCUUUUUCCCUCUCUCUGUGUUUCCACGCCUGAGACCUCCUCUCCCUCUCUGUCUCAAUUCCCUCUUCUCAGCCAACCCACCGCCAGACAACCCCCAUUUAAGUCAAAUCAAAGCACUAUUCACCUUUGUUUAAUAUUAUUAAAUUCUCAUUUUGCCCCUAACACUUCA
rnacentral:lncRNA from 1 species